rnacentral:rRNA from 1 species
GACGUAGGGCGCGAGCGUUGUCCGGAUUUAUUGGGCGUAAAGAGCUCGUAGGCGGCUUGUCGCGUCGUCCGUGAAAACCCACAGCUCAACUGUGGGCUUGCGGUCGAUACGGGCAGGCUAGAGUUCGGUAGGGGAGACUGGAAUUCCCGGUGUAGUGGUGGAAUGCGUAGAUAUCGGGAGGAACACCAGAGGCGAAGGCGGCGACCUGGACAGUAACUGACACUCAACUACGAAAGCGUGGGGAGCAAACAGG